GUCUUGGUAGUGUAAUGGAUCAGCACGGUAGACCAGAUAUCUGGAAGUGCGGGUUCGAGUCCCGCCUGAGGUU
rnacentral:tRNA from 1 species